rnacentral:antisense_RNA from 1 species
CUUGCCGGAGCCCAGCCACAGCGGCAGGCGCGGAUCGCGCUCCUGUCCGUACGUCGCCAGCAGCGCCCCGGCCUC